UUCCUAUAGCUACGCUGGUAGAGUAUGAGACUCUUAAUCUCAAGGUUGUGAGUACAAACCCCACAUUGGGUAAA